UUGUUUCUUGCUUGUCGCCAUGGAGAUGUGAUGUUCCAGAGUUUGGCUUUAAGCGUUUUUCUCUUGCAUUUGUUUCUUCACAGCUGUUUUUUUAUUCCGUCAUCGUUACUCUGAGCCGUUUCCAUGGAGACGGAGAGGUUAAAAGAAAUACCGUGGAACAUUUCGGGUAAAGCAAGAACAUCUCAGAACAGGAGAGGUGAAGAGCAGAUGGUGGAUCUUACUCCAGAAAAGUCCCACAGUGAAGCUUUAAAGUGCAGACGACAGGAGCUCAGCAGAGUUGGGCCGAGUCAGGACGGGAGACCAGGAGCCACAAGGGGGCGCCAGUGUCAUCGUGUCCUCAUGCAAGACACUUCACCCAGAUUGCAGCGUAUGAAAGUGGAGUGUAGAUGAAAACAUCUACAGAACAUCACCUUCUGUCUGAAGAGUGUGGAACAUCCUGCAAGACCAACACCAUCCUGCCACCAUCUGCUCCACCUGUGGCCCUCAGGAAGAAGAUACAGGUCCACACACGCCAGAACAUCUAGACCAGCCCACAGUCUGGACCCUCAGAACAUCUAGACCAGCCCACAGUCUGGACCCUCAGAACAUCUAGACCAGCCCACAGUCUGGACCCUCAGAACAUCUAGAACCAGCCCACAGUCUGGACCCUCAGAACAUCUAGACCAGCCCACAGUCUGGACCCUCAGAACAUCUAGACCAGCCCACAGUCUGGACCCUCAGAACAUCUAGACCGACCCACAGUCUGGACCCUCAGAACAUCUAGACCAGCCCACAGUCUGGACCCUCAGAACAUCUAGACCGACCCACAGUCUGGACCCUCAGAACAUCUAGACCAGACCCACAGUCUGGACCCUCAGAACAUCUAGACCGACCCACAGUCUGGACCCUCAGAACAUCUAGACCGACCCACAGUCUGGACCCUCAGAACAUCUAGACCGACCCAC